AGACAGCAGUCGCCGCGGUAAUACGGAGGGUGCAAGCGUUAUCCGGAUUUAUUGGGUUUAAAGGGUCCGUAGGCGGAUCUGUAAGUCAGUGGUGAAAUCUCACAGCUUAACUGUGAAAAUGCCAUUGAUACUGCAGGUCUUGAGUAAAUUUGAAGUGGCUGGAAUAAGUAGUGUAGCGGUGAAAUGCAUAGAUAUUACUUAGAACACCAAUUGCGAAGGCAGGUCACUAAGAUUUAACUGACGCUGAUGGACGAAAGCGUGGGGAGCGAACAGGAUUAGAUACCCCUGUAGUCCCUGUCUCUUAUAC
rnacentral:rRNA from 1 species